rnacentral:rRNA from 1 species
CACCGCGGUUAUACGAGAGGCCCAAGUUGACAAACCCCGGCGUAAAGAGUGGUUAAGAAAAAUUUAAAACUAAAGCCGAAUGCCCUCAAAGCUGUUAUACGCACCCGAAGGUAAGAAGCCCAAUCACGAAAGUGGCUUUACAUUUCCCGAACCCACGAAAGCUAUGAAA